UACGUAGGGUGCAAGCGUUGUCCGGAAUUAUUGGGCGUAAAGAGCUUGUAGGCGGUUUGUCGCGUCUGCUGUGAAAUUUCGGGGCUCAACCCCGAACUUGCAGUGGGUACGGGCAGACUAGAGUGUGGUAGGGGAGACUGGAAUUCCUGGUGUAGCGAUGAAAUGCGCAGAUAUCAGGAGGAACACCGAUGGCGAAGGCAGGUCUCUGGGCCACUACUGACGCUGAGAAGCGAAAGCAUGGGGAGCGAACAGG
rnacentral:rRNA from 1 species